UACGUAGGGUGCGAGCGUUGUCCGGAAUUAUUGGGCGUAAAGAGCUCGUAGGCGGCGGGUCACGUCGGGGGUGAAAGCCCGGGGCUUAACUCCGGGUCUGCAUUCGAUACGGGUCUGCUGGGGUCCGGCAGGGGAGACUGGAAUUCCUGGUGUAGCGGUGAAAUGCGCAGAUAUCAGGAGGAACACCGGUGGCGAAGGCGGGUCUCUGGGCCGGUACCGACGCUGAGGAGCGAAAGCGUGGGGAGCGAACAGG
rnacentral:rRNA from 1 species